CCUCACCUCAGUAAGUAAGACGCCCUAUUAUAGUGAAGAUGGCUGCUAUAAUAUUUCUGGUGAUGGCGGCGGCAGUGAUGCCAUCCUGGGCCCAAUACUUCGUUAAUAACAACGCUGCUCCCGCCAUCUUGGGAGCCACUGACAGGCCAUUCGUUACAUCAAGUGGAAACCUCUUGGUACCUGAAGGCAGCCCCACCC